rnacentral:lncRNA from 1 species
UGCAAAAGAAGAGGGAAGGUCGUUCGUUGGUCCCCAGGUCCAGAUGCAAAGAGCCUGAAUACUUCAAAAGAACAGCUCCUAAAAUCAGAAUACUAAACCAUCAGCCUUUUUCAGCCCAUACACCGAUGCAUGGUUGAUGACUGCAGAAUAAACCUUGCACCUUGGCAGGUAAGCUCACAAAAGUGUCCAUCUGUCCAGCAGAUGGCCC